rnacentral:rRNA from 1 species
GAUGAACGCUAGCGGCAGGCUUAAUACAUGCAAGUCGUGGGGCAGCAUGAGUAGCAAUACUUGAUGGCGACCGGCAAACGGGUGAGGAACACGUACACAACCUUCCUUCAAGCGGGGAAUAGCCCAGAGAAAUUUGGAUUAAUACCCCCAUAAUAUAUUUGAUAAGGCAUCUUAUUAAUAUUAAAGCUUCGGCACUUGAUGAUGGGUGUGCGGCUGAUUAGAUAGUUGGCGGGUAACGGCCCACCAAGUCUACGAUCAGUAGCUGAUGUGAGAGCAUGAUCAGCCACACGGGCACUGAGACACGGGCCCGACUCCUACGGGAGGCAGCAGUAAGGAAUAUUGGACAAUGGACGAAAGUCUAGAUCCAGCCAUGCCGCGUGAAGGAUUAAGGUCC